rnacentral:rRNA from 1 species
UACAGAGGGGGCAAGCGUUGUUCGGAAUUACUGGGCGUAAAGCGCACGUAGGCGGCCUUGUAAGUCGGAUGUGAAAUCCCACGGCUCAACCGUGGACGUGCAUUCGAAACUGCUCGGCUCGAGUAUGGAAGAGGGUCGCGGAAUUCCCGGUGUAGAGGUGAAAUUCGUAGAUAUCGGGAGGAACACCAGUGGCGAAGGCGGCGACCUGGGCCAAUACUGACGCUGAGGUGCGAAAGCGUGGGGAGCAAACAGG